UACGGGGGGGGCAAGCGUUGUUCGGAAUUACUGGGCGUAAAGGGCUCGUAGGCGGCCAACUAAGUCGGAUGUGAAAUCCCCAGGCUUAACUUGGGAACUGCAUCCGAUACUGGAUGGCUUGAAUCCGGGAGAGGGAUGCAGAAUUCCAGGUGUAGCGGUGAAAUGCGUAGAUAUCUGGAGGAAUACCGGUGGCGAAGGCGGCAUCCUGGACCGGCAUUGACGCUGAGGAGCGAAAGCUAGGGGAGCAAACGGG
rnacentral:rRNA from 1 species